CUAAAAAAGAUGUAUUUGUCUUCCUCAACAUGGAAAAUAUGUUUUGUUCCUAACCAUCUAUAAUCCAUUCUCUAUGAAGUUCAGCCUGUCUGCUCUUCCUUUGGAAAUACAUAGUUAAUCAACCAACAUAGAAACACACAAACUUGAAGGGAAAGAAUACUAUAAUGAGGAUCCUGGGGAUCAACAGUGAAACAUCUUAAUGACCCUCAUGACUAGGUCUACCGGCUGU